AGGUGAUGGACUAUUUAUCGACUUGCUCCAUAAUCCGUUUGGAGUUAAAGAGGACCACAGAAACUGCACCUCCAGGUGUCACAGGUUACAAAACUAAUAACUAAAAAAAAUUUAAAAACUUAUCUCAGAUUCCCUCCUGGAGUCUACUGCCUUGUUUAUACAGUUGGAGGACAAAGUCAGCCACUGCCUGAAUUCAUAUUCUGCACUAUGCGAUUCAGGAAACAACCUUAUGCUUCUCCUAUGUUUCCAGUAUGCUGGACAUCAGGUGUGGGUAAUAAUAGUACCAUGCUUUUCCUUUGGAGACUCCAAAUCCUCAGUCCAAAUGACUUUAUUCCACCUCUAACUCCACAGAUGCCAUGAAAUCCAGACCUCAGUACAGACAGUGACUUCCAUGAACUUAGCUAAAAUUUUUGGACCAAGUUUACUCCUUCUGGAUUCUAAAUGGAUAGGGUAAUGUUGCUGUCUCAUGAAGCACCUUCUGAGCCUACUGAAGCAGAAGCCGAUGUUGAGGCAGAACUGAAAGAUGCAGAGGCAGAGUCCGGAUAACACUGUCUGAACACCUGAAAAGACGUUGAACACUGAUGAAUUUUACUGUUCUGUUUUAGCCCAGGUCAGUAAGCAUCUUCUGUAAAGGGCUAGAUUGCAAAUAUUUUAGGUUUUAUGGAACGUAAGGUUUGGGUGCAACUAUUAAGCUCCAGUGAUGGAUAUGGCUGUGUUGCAAUGAAACUUGAUUUACAGAAACA
rnacentral:lncRNA from 1 species